rnacentral:rRNA from 1 species
AUGAACGCUAGCGACAGGCUUAACACAUGCAAGUCGAGGGGCAGCACAGGUAGCAAUACCGGGUGGCGACCGGCGCACGGGUGAGUAACGCGUAUGCAACUUACCUAUCAGAGGGGGAUAACCCGGCGAAAGUCGGACUAAUACCGCAUGAAGCAGGGGCCCCGCAUGGGGAUAUUUGUUAAAGAUUCAUCGCUGAUAGAUAGGCAUGCGUUCCAUUAGGCAGUUGGCGGGGUAACGGCCCACCAAACCGACGAUGGAUAGGGGUUCUGAGAGGAAGGUCCCCCACAUUGGUACUGAGACACGGACCAAACUCCUACGGGAGGCAGCAGUGAGGAAUAUUGGUCAAUGGCCGAGAGGCUGAACCAGCCAAGUCGCGUGAGGGAUGAAGGUUCUAUGGAUCGUAAACCUCUUUUAUAAGGGAAUAAAGUGCGGGACGUGUCCCGUUUUGUAUGUACCUUAUGAAUAAGGAUCGGCUAACUCCGUGCCAGCAGCCGCGGUAAUACGGAGGAUCCGAGCGUUAUCCGGAUUUAUUGGGUUUAAAGGGUGCGUAGGCGGCCUUUUAAGUCAGCGGUGAAAGUCUGUGGCUCAACCAUAGAAUUGCCGUUGAAACUGGGGGGCUUGAGUAUGUUUGAGGCAGGCGGAAUGCGUGGUGUAGCGGUGAAAUGCAUAGAUAUCACGCAGAACCCCGAUUGCGAAGGCAGCCUGCCAAGCCAUGACUGACGCUGAUGCACGAAAGCGUGGGGAUCAAACAGGAUUAGAUACCCUGGUAGUCCACGCAGUAAACGAUGAUCACUAGCUGUUUGCGAUACACUGUAAGCGGCACAGCGAAAGCGUUAAGUGAUCCACCUGGGGAGUACGCCGGCAACGGUGAAACUCAAAGGAAUUGACGGGGGCCCGCACAAGCGGAGGAACAUGUGGUUUAAUUCGAUGAUACGCGAGGAACCUUACCCGGGUUUGAACGCAUUCGGACCGAGGUGGAAACACCUUUUCUAGCAAUAGCCGUUUGCGAGGUGCUGCAUGGUUGUCGUCAGCUCGUGCCGUGAGGUGUCGGCUUAAGUGCCAUAACGAGCGCAACCCUUGCCACUAGUUACUAACAGGUAAAGCUGAGGACUCUGGUGGGACUGCCAGCGUAAGCUGCGAGGAAGGCGGGGAUGACGUCAAAUCAGCACGGCCCUUACAUCCGGGGCGACACACGUGUUACAAUGGCGUGGACAAAGGGAAGCCACCUGGCGACAGGGAGCGAAUCCCCAAACCACGUCUCAGUUCGGAUCGGAGUCUGCAACCCGACUCCGUGAAGCUGGAUUCGCUAGUAAUCGCGCAUCAGCCAUGGCGCGGUGAAUACGUUCCCGGGCCUUGUACACACCGCCCGUCAAGCCAUGGGAGCCGGGGGUACCUGAAGUCCGUAACCGAAAGGAUCGGCCUAGGGUAAAACUGGUGACUGGGGCU